AAUAUUAAUGCUAAAAUUAACUUAAUUAUUUAAACUCCACAAAAAUAAUGAAAUAGAACAGCAGGCCAACUUGGGCCUAAUUAAGCCCAAACGCAUGGGGUGCAAGGCAGUGGAGUGUGUUGCACAGCAAUGCUGGCUUGGGCCUCCCAAAUAGCCUAAGGCCCAAAGCGGGAGGAUGUACAUUGGCAAAACGGGGGUAUGCAAUGAAAGAUACUUGGGCCUCACCAAGGCCCAAAGCUCCUUGCACUGGUUCACCAAAAGAAAAUCCAAAAGAAGCGUACUCCGUGACACAAGCCAAAAGCACACGCGAGGGAGAUAGACUCGCCGCGACCGCGACAGGAUCGCUCCGACACUCCGCUUCUUGCUCAUCGGAACAAGGCGCAGCACACUCGACACGCUCGUCGGUAAGAAGCAAAAUCCUCGAUUGAAUCACUACUCCGAAGCUCAGUCCAAUUCGACUUCGUGUGUCGCCUAUAAUCAACUACAACGAGGUUGACACUUAUCAAUUCGAUGCUUCAGAUGCUUUCACUUCUAUUUUCGUUGUUCAAUUUGAUUUGCACCGUUGACGAUGACGAUUCGGAUUUCGCGGUGUUGUGUUCUGAGAUGACGAUUUCGAUUCGUGCCGGCCUCUGAGCUCCGAUUUAAUUUUUCGUUGUUCACUUCUAUUUUCGUUGUUCACUUCUAUAUUUGCAAACUUGGCUGCGUUUUGUACAUCGCGUUUUGGUUGUUGGAUUGCUUGCGCGUUGUUUUGCAGCUUGUACGUCAUUUUGGUGUAAUUUUUCAUGUCAUUUUUACUGCAAUGCUGACUUGCAUUCCGUUUGGCACCUGCGUUGCGUUUGGCUCGCCUUGACGCCGUCUUGGAUGCCGUUUUGCUGCAAUACGUACAGUUGUGUUUUGGUGCAGCUUUUGGCUUGUUAUUUCACUGCGUUUUGAAUACCACUUCGCUUGUGCUUGGGUUAUUCCGCUGUAGCUUUUGGCUUUUGCACUGCGUUUGGUAGCUUUUUUUUCCAAUUCCAAUUGCUUCUUCUUUCAUUUGGCUACUGAUUGGUUUUGUAAUUUAAAAUGGAUUAUUGGCUUGUAUGGAUAAUGAAAAAUUGGAUAGUGAAAUUGGUUUUGAAAAUUGGAUAUGGACUAUGUAUGGAUAAUGAAAUUAAAUAGAGAAUUGGAUAUAGACUAUUGAAAAAUUGGGUUA